rnacentral:rRNA from 1 species
UACGAAGGGGGCUAGCGUUGCUCGGAAUCACUGGGCGUAAAGCGCACGUAGGCGGCUUUCUAAGUCAGGGGUGAAAUCCUGGAGCUCAACUCCAGAACUGCCUUUGAUACUGAAGAUCUUGAGUUCGGGAGAGGUGAGUGGAACUGCGAGUGUAGAGGUGAAAUUCGUAGAUAUUCGCAAGAACACCAGUGGCGAAGGCGGCUCACUGGCCCGAUAUUGACGCUGAGGCACGAAAGCGUGGGGAGCAAACAGG